GCCGGGUGUGGGGGCUCAUGCCUGUAAUCCCAACAUCUUGGGAGGCUGAGACAGGAGGAUUGCUUGAGCCCAGGAUUUCAAGGCCAGCCUGGGCAACAUAGUGAGAUCCUGUAUCUA
rnacentral:SRP_RNA from 1 species